rnacentral:rRNA from 1 species
GAUGAACGCUGGCGGCGUGCCUAAUACAUGCAAGUCGAGCGAACAGACGAGGCGCUUGCCCCUCUGACGUUAGCGGCGGACGGGUGAGUAACACGUGGAUAACCUACCUAUAAGACUGGGAUAACUUCGGGAAACCGGAGCUAAUACCGGAUAAUAUAUUGAACCGCAUGGUUCAAUAGUGAAAGACGGUUUUGCUGUCACUUAUAGAUGGAUCCGCGCCGCAUUAGCUAGUUGGUAAGGUAACGGCUUACCAAGGCAACGAUGCGUAGCCGACCUGAGAGGGUGAUCGGCCACACUGGAACUGAGACACGGUCCAGACUCCUACGGGAGGCAGCAGUAGGGAAUCUUCCGCAAUGGGCGAAAGCCUGACGGAGCAACGCCGCGUGAGUGAUGAAGGUCUUCGGAUCGUAAAACUCUGUUAUUAGGGAAGAACAAAUGUGUAAGUAACUAUGCACGUCUUGACGGUACCUAAUCAGAAAGCCACGGCUAACUACGUG